rnacentral:rRNA from 1 species
GAUGAACGCUGGCGGCGUGCCUAAUACAUGCAAGUCGAGCGAACAGACGAGGAGCUUGCUCCUCUGACGUUAGCGGCGGACGGGUGAGUAACACGUGGAUAACCUACCUAUAAGACUGGGAUAACUUCGGGAAACCGGAGCUAAUACCGGAUAAUAUAUUGAACCGCAUGGUUCAAUAGUGAAAGACGGUUUUGCUGUCACUUAUAGAUGUAUCCGCGCCGCAUUAGCUAGUUGGUAAGGUAACGGCUUACCAAGGCAACGAUGCGUAGCCGACCUGAGAGGGUGAUCGGCCACACUGGAACUGAGACACGGUCCAGACUCCUACGGGAGGCAGCAGUAGGGAAUCUUCCGCAAUGGGCGAAAGCCUGACGGAGCAACGCCGCGUGAGUGAUGAAGGUCUUCGGAUCGUAAAACUCUGUUAUUAGGGAAGAACAAAUGUGUAAGUAACUAUGCACGCCUUGACGGUACCUAAUCAGAAAGCCACGGCUAACUACGUG